UACAGAGGUGGCAAGCGUUGUUCGGAUUUACUGGGCGUAAAGGGUGCGUAGGCGGUUCCGUAUGUCGGGUGUGAAAUCCCACGGAUUCUCCGUGGAACGGCACUCGAAACUGCGGGGCUAGAGUGCAGGAGAGGAGGGCGGAAUUCUCGGUGUAGCGGUGAAAUGCGUUGAUAUCGAGAGGAACGCCGGUGGCGAAGGCGGCCCUCUGGACUGCCACUGACGCUGAGGCACGAAAGCUGGGGUAGCAAACAGG
rnacentral:rRNA from 1 species